GACGAACGCUGGCGGCGUGCUUAACACAUGCAAGUCGAGCGGUAAGGCCCUUUCGGGGGUACACGAGCGGCGAACGGGUGAGUAACACGUGGGUGACCUGCCCUCAGCUCUGGGAUAAGCCCGGGAAACUGGGUCUAAUACCGGAUAUGACUCCAUGACGCAUGUUGUGGGGUGGAAAGCCUUGUGCGGCUGAGGAUGGGCCCGCGGCCUAUCAGCUUGUUGGUGGGGUGAUGGCCACCAAGGCGACGACGGGUAGCCGGCCUGAGAGGGCGACCGGCCACACUGGGACUGAGAUACGGCCCAGACUCCUACGGGAGGCAGCAGUGGGGAAUCUUGCGCAAUGGGCGAAAGCCUGACGCAGCGACGCCGCGU
rnacentral:rRNA from 1 species